CUACUCAGUUUAUAACAAUUUUAUAAAAUACUAUCAAAUUGUUCAAAUUGGUUAUGCUUUUCGGUUAAGAAACGUAUUAAUUUAUACCAAAAAAAAAAGAGAUUUUCAGUGGGCAGAUCAGAUUGGUGGGAAAUCAAGACUGCACCAGUGGAGCAUCGUAGAUGGGGGCCUGUCCAACGCGCACCACCGAGGGCACCACUGGAACGGACUCGACCACAUUGACACGGCGAACCACCGGCACACGGCGGACCACAGGCACACUGCGCACCACCGGAACGGAGCGAAUAACGGGCACGGAACGGACCACCGGAACGGAGGACACCGGCGAGUAGAUGACACUGCACUGGGCGAGGGCCAUGCAGGCGGCGAUCAGGAAGGCGGCGAUGAAGAACUGCAGGGAUGUUAAGAAUCGGAAAU
rnacentral:lncRNA from 1 species